CGUGCCGGCGUACCUAAACCGAGUGCGUCUUUUUUUGUUUUUUUUUUUUUACCGUCUAUACGUACACAGUAUAAUACGCUGUACACGUAUAUAUAUAUAUAUAGGUAUUGUAUGUACAUUAUAAGGUACAUACCUUCAUGAUAUUACACGUUAUGCGCGUACCCGCAGUAUACGCGUACACGUUAAACACGCCACAAAAGUUGUUUUUUAUUUUUUUUUUUUUUCUUUCUUUCUUAUUCAAGCACACACACACACACGCGGUCAGAAUAUUAUCGUCGUUACACUCGCGUAUUAUAUUACCGCGUAUAGGACGUACAGGUAGG